rnacentral:rRNA from 1 species
AACGAACGCUGGCGGCAUGCCUAACACAUGCAAGUCGAACGAGACCUUCGGGUCUAGUGGCGCACGGGUGCGUAACGCGUGGGAACCUGCACUUAGGUUCGGACUAACUCCCCGAAAGGGGUGCUAAUACCGGAUAAUGUCUUCGGACCAAAGAUUUAUCGCAUUUGGAUGGGCCCGCGUUGGAUUAGCUAGUUGGUAGGGUAAAAGCCUACCAAGGCGACGAUCCAUAACUGGUCUGAGAGGAUGAUCAGCCACACUGGGACUGAGACACGGCCGAGACUCCUACGGGAGGCGGCAGUGGGGAAUAGUGGACAAUGGGCUAAAGCCUGAUCCAGUAAUGCCGGGAGAGUGAUGAAGGCCGUAGGGAUGUAAAGCUCUUUUACCCGUGAUGAUAAUGACAGUACCGAGAGAAUAAGCUCCGGCUAACUCCGUG